AUUGAACGCUGGCGGCAGGCCUAACACAUGCAAGUCGAACGAGCGGCGGACGGGUGAGUAAUGUCUGGGAAACUGCCUGAUGGAGGGGGAUAACUACUGGAAACGGUAGCUAAUACCGCAUACUAUCGGAUGAACCCAGAUGGGAUUAGCUAGUAGGUGGGGUAAAGGCUCACCUAGGCGACGAUCCCUAGCUGGUCUGAGAGGAUGACCAGCCACACUGGAACUGAGACACGGUCCAGACGCCUACGGGAGGCAGCAGUGGGGAAUAUUGCACAAUGGGCGCAAGCCUGAUGCAGCCAUGCCGCGUGUAUGAAGAAGGCCUUCGGGUUGUAAAGUACUUUCAGCGGGGAGGCGUUACCCGCAGAAGAAGCACCGGCUAACUCCGUGCCAGCAGCCGCGGUAAUUC
rnacentral:rRNA from 1 species